rnacentral:rRNA from 1 species
CCUACGGGAGGCAGCAGUGGGGAAUUGUUCACAAUGGGCGCAAGCCUGAUGACGCAACGCCGCGUGGAGGAUGAAGGUCUUCGGAUUGUAAACUCCUGUUGCCCGGGACGAAAAGCCUCGACCUAAUACGUCGAGGUCUGACGGUACCGGGUGAGGAAGCCCCGGCUAACUCUGUGCCAGCAGCCGCGGUAAU